rnacentral:rRNA from 1 species
GGUUAAGCGACUAAGCGUACACGGUGGAUGCCCUGGCAGUCAGAGGCGAUGAAGGACGUGCUAAUCUGCGAUAAGCGUCGGUAAGGUGAUAUGAACCGUUAUAACCGGCGAUUUCCGAAUGGGGAAACCCAGUGUGAUUCGUCACACUAUCAUUAACUGAAUCCAUAGGUUAAUGAGGCGAACCGGGGGAACUGAAACAUCUAAGUACCCCGAGGAAAAGAAAUCAACCGAGAUUCCCCCAGUAGCGGCGAGCGAACGGGGAGCAGCCCAGAGCCUGAAUCAGUGUGUGUGUUAGUGGAAGCGUCUGGAAAGGCGUGCGAUACAGGGUGACAGCCCCGUACACAAAAAUGCACAUGCUGUGAGCUCGAUGAGUAGGGCGGGACACGUGGUAUCCUGUCUGAAUAUGGGGGGACCAUCCUCCAAGGCUAAAUACUCCUGACUGACCGAUAGUGAACCAGUACCGUGAGGGAAAGGCGAAAAGAACCCCGGCGAGGGGAGUGAAAAAGAACCUGAAACCGUGUACGUACAAGCAGUGGGAGCACGCUUAGGCGUGUGACUGCGUACCUUUUGUAUAAUGGGUCAGCGACUUAUAUUCUGUAGCAAGGUUAACCGAAUAGGGGAGCCGAAGGGAAACCGAGUCUUAACUGGGCGUUAAGUUGCAGGGUAUAGACCCGAAA